rfam:Maize yellow dwarf virus-RMV, complete genome
CUCAAGUCAGCCAGGCAAAUUCGAGUUGCAAGCACUGGAUGACCUAGUCUCGAUACAU